CAGAGAACUCUAACUACCCCUAAGUUAUUCUCCUGAGUUCCCAAUUGGAUUUCUCCUCCGUUCGCACUCUGCUGCCGCCUUCCAUGGCGUCGUCGUCGUCCGUCGCUGGGUGGUCGUCGUCCCUCUGCGUCGCCCACGGGUGCACUAUUCUGCUCCGCUCAUCCGCCUUACCUAUUGCAUCCCCUCGUUCCGCCUUGCCUCACUACGCCUCAGGUGCCUUGUCUCGAAUUGCCGCUCCUCGACUCUGUUUUGCUGUCUGGACUGGUUCUGCAACAACAGGUGAUGAUUGAAUUUUGUUUUAGUUUUUCAACUGUUGGAUCGGAGGAGAUGAACCAGGUGGCAUGUGGAAAGGAAACCAGUGAGAUGGCUUUCAUUUGUUUGAAUUGCAAAGAUCGGGAGUAGAAUGAACAUGUGGGUUUCUGUCAGCGUUGGGUAAUAAUUCUUCUUAAUAAUGUCUCCUUCCCACUACACUAAGAAUGGGAGAAAUGUUAUGCUUAAAACAACUAGUAGUCAAACGGCAUCCUCUCCCGAUUCUAAUGCUUCAGGUUGUGUGAAAUAUGUGGUGAGACUGCAAAAAAUGUUUCAGAAUCACAGGUUAUCAAUCAUUCAUUUAUGGAAGAGUGGAACGAAAGUAGGUUCAUCGACGAUGGUAAUAGUACCUCAACCAGCUUCUUUGGAAGAUGCUGGCGUGGACAGCCAUUCUGUAACUUUUUGAUGGCAUGCUUGGUCAUAGCUUUUGUUCUACCAUGAUUCUUCCGCGUAAAUAUGUUCUAGAAAGAGAGUUAGACACUGUGAUGAGUUCUUCAUUGUUUCCGGCGCACAUACUUCGGAAGGGGUGUUAACCUUGUCCAAAUUUCCAUAUCUCAAGGUUUGUGCCUGAAGCUUCAAUGUACAAAAAAUGUUACCAGCUAGGGAACUCACGGCCAAAUGGUUUCAUUAUAUGAGAUUUCACGGAUUUGAUGUGUGUCUUCUCUUCUGAGAUAUAUACAUUGUUGAUACAGAGAGAUUACUUUAAGGGUCCAAAAAAGAAAGAGCAAAAAAGUUAUUUGUGGUAGUUUAGAUGUUGUGUUAGAAUUCAGUACCUAAUUUGUUGAAAAAAAAA